rnacentral:tRNA from 1 species
GGUUCCAUGGUGUAAUGGUAGCACUCUGAACUUUGAAUCUACCGAUCCGAGUUUGAGUUCGGUGGAACCC